rnacentral:tRNA from 1 species
UAGCCUUGUGGUUAAGGCUAUGGAUCGCCAAUCCAGAGACGGCGGGUUCGAUUCCCGU